AGGACAGAGGGGCGAGGGGUCUUUUUUUCCGCUUUGCGGUGUGCGACCAGUGCUUUGCCCAGGCAGGUUUUCUCCGGUAUCCACCCCUCUCCCAGUGUCGGGAGCGUUGGGUCCGCGCUGAGCGGCGGGUGUAGCGCAGAGGACUUGAGACCUCGUGUUCUUCAGUCUCCGGCUGAGGAAGAGUCGGGUCCUUCAUUCAAAGAACAAGAUUUGCAGAGCCCUUCCUAGCUUCAGGCUCUGACCUCAAUGCCUGGGAACCGGGUGUGAAUGAGACGGGCAGGGGUCCCGGCUUACGUUCUAAGUUGCGCGGGAAAGGCACUUAAACAGGUGACAUGGACAACGUAGGUCCAGAUGGCCUGAGUGCCAAGGAGGAAACAAAAGGAGGUUAUGUGGCGGAGCAGGCUGUUCCACAGAAACAUAGUGCGGACCACGAAUUCCAUUUUAAGUGUUUGAAAUGCCACCCCAAAAGUAAAAUAAAAAGUUAAAUUAAUUUCAGUAGUAACUUAGCAUUAAUCAAUGCAAAAUCUUUAAUGAUUAAUGAUAUAUGUUAAUGAUCUAUUUUGCUUAAAAGUCCGGCGUGUAUUUUAUACUUCCAGCACAUUUCAGUUCAAACUAGUCACAUUUCGGGUGCUGAGAAGCAGCCUGUGUGGCUGGAGCAGACUGAGGAGUCCAGAAUGGCAUAAGAUGCAGCGGAAGAGACAGUGUCUUCAGAUAGCAGAGGCAGUAUCAAGAUUUAACAUGUUACCUUUAUUCCUCUUGUCUCAGAGAUAUGGUCAAAGCCCCAAUGCCAAGAAAUGGAAGAGUAGCUGCGGACAGCUAAUUUUUUCACCCUGUGGAGCAAGCCUUCUGCGAUUGUCAGAAUGAGGUCUACACCAAGAGAGACAAAGAGGAGAGGAGAGAAAUGGUUGUGUUGUUUGAGGUCUGGCCCUAGGUCUGUGUGAUGUUAGCUCCUCUGCUAACUCCUUUUGCAUAUCAUAUAGGUUGACAUUUCCGUCAUUUAUAUCCCGACUGAUAGACUUUGAACAGAAAUAUUAGAUAACUCCCUCUUAUGAAAUAUUACCUCUUAAGCCUAAAAAUGCAGGUGAUUUUGGCAUGAUAAUAAAAAUAACUGCAAGUUAUAAAACAUCUACCAGGUGC